rnacentral:rRNA from 1 species
AUGGUUUUAUUUACAGAAAAUGCCUUGGGGACGGAAACCUAUUGUAAGUCCUCCCUCCCAUCUCUCCAGUUUUGUAGGAAGGGAUGUGUGGUUGCAUGUCUCAGUGUGCAAACUUCUCUUCUUUUCAGGCAAACCAAAAUUCACAACAUUGGUGCAACCCUUGUAGGAGUUGACACUUUUGGAAACAAGUACUAUGAGAAACUACAUGACACUCAGUAUGGAAGGCAUAGGUGGGUAGAGUAUGCGGACAAGGGUCGCUACAAUGCAUCCCAAGUGCCUGCUGAAUGGCAUGGAUGGCUGCACCACAUUACAGACAGCACUGGGGACAAGCUGCUGGAGGAGAAGACUAAAAAGUUCAUUAGGGAGCACAGACAGAACUACACCGGACAGGGUGACGACUUGAUCUACCACUCCAAGGGGCAUGCUCUGAACCCAGGGCAAAGGGACUGGACAAGGUACCAGCCUUGGGAACCAAAGAAAGAAGAGGCCUCCUGA